UCCAUUUUCCUGCUGCAACAGAGCUCCAUCAAUUUCAUCCUUUCUUUUCUACCUUCCGUUCUCCUCCUCUCUUUCACUAUCUAUUUUCUUCGCGAGUUUUCGGCUUAUUUAUGUUCAAUUUUAGAUCUCUCUAUGUUGUUGAUUUAAAGUUUAACAACUAGGGUUUUCUGAUUCUUAGAAUUGAUUGAUGGAAGAAGAAGACGAAGAAGAAGAAUGUUAUUUCGAGGGAUUGAGCUGAAUUGCAGGCAAAGCUGGAUGGAGUGUGGUGUUGUUGCUUUCUGUUGGAAUGUAAGAACUGCAGUAAUGAGAUUAGCACAACUAUUGUUUAAUUCAAAUUGGUGAGACACAUUAAGGAAGCACCAGCUCUAUAUUUCCAAGUGUUCAGAUUUGAGGAGUUAUACUGUUCAUGUUGUAGCUGCGAGUUAACAAAUGCAACACAAAGAUUAAGAUGGCACAUGUAGCUGAAUUUAGUUAGUAUUUAUAUGUUUAAUCCUUGCUGUCUCCAUAGGCUUAUGCGAUUAGACACAUAUAUACUAACUCAAUCUGUGGUGUUCCUGCAAGCAAUAGACAUGGGUUUUCUUAGAAAACUAUAGAUUUCCAUUCAGGAUGCGGGAACUUAUGCGGAGCUUUACCAAUGAUUUAGGCUUCUAUGUGAGCCAGGGAUAGACCAGAGGCAGACAUAAAUCAACAAAAUGUUAUUUUACAGCAACAUCAACAACAACAACAACAACAACGAGAACAACCUCAGCAACAACAGCCACAGAUACAAUAACUCAUAAAUUUGAACAUCUUGUUCUUUUUUAAACAUUAAUUAAAUGCACAGGUGUAAACAUAUAGUGUGUGCUUCCAGAAAUGUUCAUUGGGACAACAGAGGAGGUAUGCUAGGCAGAGGUCGGAACCAGCAAGAAAUAUACAGAAUUUGAUUGUACAACAACAACAGGUUGAAGGCGAGGAUGCAAAUGAAGAUGUUGGAGAUGCAAUUGGGGAUUGAGAAUGUCAAUUUCUUUUGUAGCUGAUCAUUAUCAUAGGUAGGCUUUAAAAUGUUUAUGAAAUAUUUGUAGAGCCUGAAACCCCAUCCAUCUCAAAACAGUAUGGAAUGCGUAAUUUAGGUUUGUCAUGGUAGACAAAAACUAAAAAGCCUAAAACAAUAUCUUAGCUUGAUGUGUUUUUCUUUGCUUGCAAGAGAUUUAUGUUUAAACUUUAUUCAUAUAUAUUUGUGGAAUUAGAUGAAAUUGUUUUUUCAAUUAGAUAAUUAGUUUCGGAAA